GAAUGUGAGGGCGAUAUGGCUGCAACAUCUGUCACCCCAUUGAUUGCCAGGGUUGAUUCAGCGGAUCUGGCUGGCUAGACAGGUGUCCCCUUCCUCCCUCAUCACUGCAUGUUCAUCCCUCCCAAAGCUGCAUGCCAGGUCGAAGAGGACCACCUUUCCUGAUAGAGGAGGACUGUUCUUCGGUCAAGGAUAUACGAGUAGCUGCACUCCCCUGCUAGAACUUCCAAAACAGCUCUCAAAAAUAUCUGGGGGGAAAAAACAAUAAAAAAUAACAAUACAAUAAAAAAUAAUACAAAUAAAAACAAUAGGGUAUAACAACUAUUU
rnacentral:snRNA from 1 species